UAACCUUUUUUCUGGGACUAAAAAGCUACAUUUUUUUCUGGGACUAAAAAGCUCUUGGGGAAACAGGCCAUACAUGCCCUUUAUGUUCAUGGUGAUCUCCUCUUUGCUGGUGGCUCUUCAGUCGAUGGCACAGCCGGAAAGGUGUUCUCGCUCUCAACAAAGGAAGUAAUUGCAACCUUACCAACAGGAUCCGACAUCCACUGCAUAACUGCCAACAAUGAUUUUGUAUUUAUAGGAACUAAAAGUGGAAUAACUGAUGUCUAUUUAAGAGAACGACUUGUUAGAGUUGCUUCCAUUAAAACAGGGGGUGGAAGAGAAAGCUCAAAAAUCACAAGUUUGGCAUCAGAUUCUGAAGGAGAAAUGCUUUAUACAGGUUCCUCCAGUGGCAAGAUUCAGGUUAAGAAGUGGGAGUGGAAGUAUCUGGCCUAUGGGUACCCAUCAUUCACGUCAUGUGAUCUUCAGGAUUAAGCUGUGUGGACUCCAUAAGUUCGAUUAUGGGUGCAGGGUGCUUUCAUUGUGCUGCUUGGAGCUCUAUUUCGUACGGUCAUCGCAUCAGUCUAUUCACAUACUCUUGCCGUAGCUUAUAGGUUAAUGGAACAAACUAGGGAACCAGGGGAGUCAUCUAACAACAGCGCAUCUGAUUAUAACUUAAAAGGUAUCUCGCGUCCGGGAACCUUACAUCGGAGUCAACAAACAGAAAUAAGAGCAUCAACAUCUAAAAGUGGUGUUUUUACUCCUUCACAGCCAUUAGUAAUUAGUACUGUACCUGUAUUUAUGAUUGUGUAGGGAGUAGAUAAUGGGAAUUGCGGCCCUCAGGCAU